rnacentral:rRNA from 1 species
AUGGCUGUCGUCAGCUCGUGUCGUGAGAUGUUCGGUUAAGUCCGCUAACGAGCGCAACCCUCGUCGUAUGUUACAAGUGUCAUACGAGACUGCCGGUAAAAAGUACGGAGGGAAGGGUGGGGGAUGAUGUCAAGUCAGCAUGACCUUUAUAUCUAGGGCUACACACACGCUACAAUGGUCUGUACAAUGGGUUGCCAAGCCGCGAGGCGGAGCCAAUCCUAAAAAGCAGGCCUCAGUUCAGAUUGCAGUCUGCAACCCGACUGCAUGAAGCCGGAGUUGCUAGUAACCGCAGGUCAGCAAUACUGCGGUGAAUACGUUCCCGGGUCUU